UCGGGAAUUUUGUGCAAUGGGCGAAAGCCUGACACAGCAACGCCGCGUGAAGGAUGAAGUCCCUCGGGAUGUAAACUUCGUAAGAAUAGGAAGAAUAAAUGACGGUACUAUUUGUAAGGUCCGGCUAACUACGUGCCAGCAGCCGCGGUAAUACGUAGGGACCAAGCGUUGUUCGGAUUUACUGGGCGUAAAGGGUGCGUAGGCGGCAUAUCAAGUCACUUGUGAAAUCUCCGGGCUUAACUCGGAACUGCCAAGUGAUACUGAUGUGCUAGAGUGCAGAAAGGGCAACUGGAAUUCUUGGUGUAGCGGUGAAAUGCGUAGAUAUCAAGAGGAACACCUGAGGCGAAGGCGAGUUGCUAGGCUGACACUGACGCUGAGGUACGAAAGCUAGGGGAGCAAACAGGAUUAGAUACCCUAGUAGUCCCUGAGCGGGCUGGCAAGGCGCAU
rnacentral:rRNA from 1 species